CGCCCCUUUUAAAAUUGGUUAUUUUUCCAAUUUUCUAAACCCUAAUUCCCCAAAACUUUAGGAAAAUACCUUGAAAUGGCCAAAUAAACCUCUAAGACCAGAAUAACCUAAUAGACCCUAGUUUACCAUCUCCCAUAGUCCAUUUAAACUUCAAUGGUUUCCUAAUCUUCUAGAAAAAAUAUAGGAGAUGUCCCAUAAAGAUCCCAAAAACCCUAAAAAUUAUGUAAAUCCAAGAGGAAUAGGAAGACCUAGAAUUUAGGGAUAUUUGAGCCCAUCCCAGACUUGAAAUGGGAUAAAAAUCAACCCAGAAUGGGUUAAAUCUAAAGAAGAUCGAUCAUUCAAACCGAAAUUCGGAGUAAGAAAUCUGCAGACAACACCGAGGAAGUUGUACAAUUCACAAGGCUCGAUGACGCAUACUGCUUCGUCACCGCAUCGACUUGAAAAACCGCACAUGGCAGAGGUGGGAAAGGGGCUUGAGCCAUGGUGAAAAAAUGGCAUAAGCAUAUGCCCCUCAACCCUAAAUCUUUGUGCAAUCUGCCGGAGCAAAGGAAAGCCUCUCGUUCACAAGGUCAUACUCCACCUCCAUAUUUCGCUGCAUUAAGUUACUAAAGACGGAGAAAGAAUCAGUUGACCUCAUCAUCAAGCAUACCAACUCUGAGUCCAUCUUCAUAAACAAAUUGUUGGGAUCCACUCUCCAAUCAGCCUAACAUCUGGGAUUCCUGCAAUAUCUCUUGAACUAUCAUUACUACUGUAGCAAAGAUCAAAUUCCUUCAAGGGGUCUGGAGUCCAUGACUUAUUGCUAGAGGCCAUCACAUUUUGGACCAGUUGAUUAUAUUCUAUCCGGUCCAAAAAAGUGAGAGGCGAACCGGAGUUGAUGACCAACUUCUUUGUUUUCUCUUGACUUGGAUCGAAAGAUGCCCGGUGGUAUGCCAAUACGCUUGGAGCCGACACUAAUGUCCUCAAGGUUCAAGAGGUGAUAAAUCGGUGUAGACUUCAUACCGGGUGUUUUGAUGUCAGCGCAAUUGCCCAUAAGCAUGACGCCGGCGCCACUUGUCCGUAGGCAAUAUGUGAAUCUCUUGGGUAAGUAGGGACUCAGUUGAGAAACAAGGGAGAGAGGCCCUCCCCCAAAACCCACCAGCGCAGAGCCUAUAACUCCAGGAUUAGAGUCAUGAAUGCUGCAUCCAAAUCCUAUUUUGCCAAUUGCCAGUACAACUUGGCCAUUAGUAAUUCUGGUAUCAAUAUUUCUCUCAAUGCUUGGUGAAAGGUUAUUAUCAGUAUUAUUAUCAAAGGUAAAAUUAUUUUUAAUGUUUUCAAUCCAUUCAAAGGUGAAGGUUUCUUAUUCCAGUAUGCCAUUUGAAAAUGUACCAUCUCGAUACUUAAACCUCAUAAAAGCAAUCAGUAGUGCACGAUGAAUUCAUAUUCUUACAGAGAGUCUCAUUGCAGGCAAUGCUUUGAUAACUCGAAGAUGUGGCGGGGUCAUAAAUGGGGUCGGUACUGUUGGAGCCCGAUUCACCCUGUUCACACUCUAUCCACACCAAGUCACUCCCAGUAUCAAUUAACAAGAAGAAAUCUCUUUUCGUGUUCCCUAUCCCGACCUUGAUGAGGUAGUCAUUGUCGAUGAUCUUGUUCCCCAUGCCGCAAAAUAUCCGACAAGGGCUGAGUGGCAGGCGAUGGAGCGGCGGGCGGCUUGCCUCAUUCGAUCAUGGUCUGUGAGAUUAGGGGUAUAAAAAGGAGAUGAUAAGGAGUCGCGAUGGAUGAGGUUUUGCCUGAGUCCAGUAAUUUUUGUAGCAGAGGACACCUUGAAAAAUGAAGUGGAGGUGACAAUCAAGAGUAGCAUGAGAACAAAAACCCUUUGAGGUGACUGCAAAUCCAUGAUUUCCUAAACCAGUAAAUGAUAAACUUUGUUACUUUUCAAAUGGUAGAAGAAUUUUAUACCCAAGUUGUUCUUAAUAUAGAUUGCCUAUGCGGCUCCUUAUUGAAAGUUUUAAACAUGCAAACUAUGAAAUGGCAGUAUGCUUUUAAUUAUUUU